rnacentral:tRNA from 1 species
GGAAAGGUGCAAGAGUGGCUUAACUGGCACGCCUGGAAAGCGUGUGUACCUGAAAGGGUACCGAGAGUUCGAAUCUCUCCCUUUCCG